GACGAACGCUGGCGGCGUGCCUAAUACAUGCAAGUAGAACGCUGAAGAGAGGAGCUUGCUCUUCUUGGAUGAGUUGCGAACGGGUGAGUAACGCGUAGGUAACCUGCCUUGUAGCGGGGGAUAACUAUUGGAAACGAUAGCUAAUACCGCAUAACAAUGGAUGACACAUGUCAUUUAUUUGAAAGGGGCAAUUGCUCCACUACAAGAUGGACCUGCGUUGUAUUAGCUAGUAGGUGAGGUAACGGCUCACCUAGGCGACGAUACAUAGCCGACCUGAGAGGGUGAUCGGCCACACUGGGACUGAGACACGGCCCAGACUCCUACGGGAGGCAGCAGUAGGGAAUCUUCGGCAAUGGGGGCAACCCUGACCGAGCAACGCCGCGUGAGUGAAGAAGGUUUUCGGAUCGUAAAGCUCUGUUGUAAGUCAAGAACGAGUGUGAGAGUGGAAAAUUCACACUGUGACGGUAGCUUACCAGAAAGGGACGGCUAACUACGUGCCAGCAGCCGCGGUAAUACGUAGGUCCCGAGCGUUGUCCGGAUUUAUUGGGCGUAAAGCGAGCGCAGGCGGUUUGAUAAGUCUGAAGUUAAAGGCUGUGGCUCAACCAUAGUUCGCUUUGGAAACUGUCAAACUUGAGUGCAGAAGGGGAGAGUGGAAUUCCAUGUGUAGCGGUGAAAUGCGUAGAUAUAUGGGGGAACACCGGUGGCGAAAGCGGCUCUCUGGUCUGUAACUGACGCUGAGGCUCGAAAGCGUGGGGAGCGAACAGGAUUAGAUACCCUGGUAGUCCACGCCGUAAACGAUGAGUGCUAGGUGUUGGAUCCUUUCCGGGAUUCAGUGCCGCAGCUAACGCAUUAAGCACUCCGCCUGGGGAGUACGACCGCAAGGUUGAAACUCAAAGGAAUUGACGGGGGCCCGCACAAGCGGUGGAGCAUGUGGUUUAAUUCGAAGCAACGCGAAGAACCUUACCAGGUCUUGACAUCCCGAUGCUAUUUCUAGAGAUAGAAAGUUACUUCGGUACAUCGGUGACAGGUGGUGCAUGGUUGUCGUCAGCUCGUGUCGUGAGAUGUUGGGUUAAGUCCCGCAACGAGCGCAACCCCUAUUGUUAGUUGCCAUCAUUCAGUUGGGCACUCUAGCGAGACUGCCGGUAAUAAACCGGAGGAAGGUGGGGAUGACGUCAAAUCAUCAUGCCCCUUAUGACCUGGGCUACACACGUGCUACAAUGGUUGGUACAACGAGUUGCGAGUCGGUGACGGCAAGCUAAUCUCUUAAAGCCAAUCUCAGUUCGGAUUGUAGGCUGCAACUCGCCUACAUGAAGUCGGAAUCGCUAGUAAUCGCGGAUCAGCACGCCGCGGUGAAUACGUUCCCGGGCCU
rnacentral:rRNA from 1 species